rnacentral:rRNA from 1 species
UACGAAGGGGGGCUAGCGUUGCUCGGAAUCACUGGGCGUAAAGGGCGCGUAGGCGGCUUUCUAAGGUCGGGGGUGAAAUCCUGGAGCUCAACUCCAGAACUGCCUUCGAUACUGGGAGCUCGAGUCCGGGAGAGGUGAGUGGGACUGCGAGUGUAGAGGUGAAAUUCGUAGAUAUUCGCAAGAACACCAGUGGCGAAGGCGGCUCACUGGCCCGGUACUGACGCUGAGGAACGAAAGCUAGGGGAGCAAACAGG